AUCAGGAGGUUAGUGCAAUGGCAUAAGCCAGCUUGACUGCGAGCGUGACGGCGCGAGCAGGUGCGAAAGCAGGUCAUAGUGAUCCGGUGGUUCUGAAUGGAAGGGCCAUCGCUCAACGGAUAAAAGGUACUCCGGGGAUAACAGGCUGAUACCGCCCAAGAGUUCAUAUCGACGGCGGUGUUUGGCACCUCGAUGUCGGCUCAUCACAUCCUGGGGCUGAAGUAGGUCCCAAGGGUAUGGCUGUUCGCCAUUUAAAGUGGUACGCGAGCUGGGUUUAGAACGUCGUGAGACAGUUCGGUCCCUAUCUGCCGUGGGCGCUGGAGAACUGAGGGGGGCUGCUCCUAGUACGAGAGGACCGGAGUGGACGCAUCACUGGUGUUCGGGUUGUCAUGCCAAUGGCACUGCCCGGUAGCUAAAUGCGGAAGAGAUAAGUGCUGAAAGCAUCUAAGCACGAAACUUGCCCCGAGAUGAGUUCUCCCUGAGACUUAGAGUCUCCUGAAGGAACGUUGAAGACGACGACGUUGAUAGGCCGGGUGUGUAAGCGCAGCGAUGCGUUGAGCUAACCGGUACUAAUGAACCGUGAGGCUUAACCUUACAACGCCGAAG
rnacentral:rRNA from 2 species